CGCGCCAAAUUUCCACGAUGUGGUCCGUGCGUGUUUCUCUCUGCAGGUGAAGCCUGUUGCUCUCUAGUGGCGAUGCCUCUACACAACAAGCCCUUGCUCCAACCCCCCCUACUCCACAUAGCCCCUGUGGGUACCAUCCAUCAGAAGGGACGCCAUCCCCACCACCGCCACCCCACCUCCCCCGAGGGCCCCUGGGGGCUUGGCAGAGGACGCCUGCUGGAAAGGUUCUCCUCUCUGCGGAUCUCAGCUGAGAUGUGGACGGUAGACAAUCCAUGAAGAAUUGUCUGCGAUGGCCACCCUGUACCCCCCUCAUCCUGGUCAAGGUCGCAGAACCCCGCUCACCCAGGUCAAGGUCGCAGAACACCCCUUACCCUGGUCAAGGUCGCAGCACACCCCUCACCCUGGGUACAUGGAUUUUACAUCUGGAAGUUUGGCGUUUUUGGUUCUUUUUUUCCUCUUUCUCGCGAGCGCGUGUGUGUGUGCGUGUGCGUGUGUCACCAACACCACGUCGUACCCCCCUCAGAAGGUUAUUUUAUUUUUCCUCUGAAAUAAAACUGGUAUAUUUUUAGCUGUGGAAAAACAAGCACAGCUCUUAUGAAGGGCACACUGACUUUCACCCAAACCGCCCCCAACGAGCUCCGUGUCCUCGACCGGCCGCUAAAGCUUCUCCAUGUCGUUCCGACACAGAUCAGGGGGAGGGGGCUUUUUGAGUUGGUGCUAUGUUCAGUUAUUUUUUGUUUUUUUUACGAAGGACAAUCAUAAUGUGAAAGACAUGUUUGAAUUUGAACAUUUUCAGUUGAUUUCAAGAAGUGGCAUUUUUUUCUUUUUUUUCAUCUUUUAUUUGCUUUCUUUCUUUCUUUAAUUAAUUUUGAAAUGUAACGGCAGUUUUGUACUCGUCUCAGCCGCAUAGUUUUGUGAUAUAUCUUAUCAGAUCAUUUUCGAAACACAUCGUCAACUUUGUGUUGUCAAAAGGAAAGAUUCAGAACAGUUUUGCCACUCGUCCAAACGUCAAUUUACACUGAAUAAUACAUGCUGCCACCUGAAUCAUUGAAAGUAUUUUUUGCAGUGAAGGUUACAUUUGCAGUGAAAUACUGAAAGGGAUAUUGUUUAUUAUUGAGUUUUUACAAUGAGUUCCUGAGAUACAGCGGUAUCUUAUCGAAUUAUGUUUUGACGGGGUUUGUCUGUAAAAAGUCUGAUAUUUAAAAAAAGUUGUAUUUCAUUUGGCGGGAGGUGGAACGUCUAUGAAUGUCUGUCUUCAAGAUGUUUUAUUCAUGUCUUGUUUUGAAACCAAUAAACGUUUACAUCCCUGGCUGCGUGUCGUUGGUUAUUACAAGAUUACCAUAUGUUGACCGUACCGCAGCAUCGCUCGCUGUUGAGCGAUGCUGCGGUCCAUUGGCGUGGGGCCAAGGGUACCUGGCGGGAAGAUGAAGGUGCUAGUUCAGGUUGUUGUUCAUGUUAAUUAUGUUGCCUGGUAACAAGGUAAAGAUUUAUAGGUGAUUAACAUUGCUUGGACAAAUGACCGUUUGUGUCUGUGUAGGUCCUGUGAUCCAAUGGCAUUUAUUUUUCCAGUACUUUUUCGAAUAAAUUCCAAAUUUUGUGACCAAACAGCCAAAGCUGGUGUCGGCACAUUUGUCAGCGAUUGGGACACUAAUGAUAUGGGAUGAUAAUACAUAAAUAGAUUCUAUCUUCUAUUCAUUUGCUAUUCUUUUUAACGCCGUAAGCGGAAGAAUACUGUUGUGAUUAUCCUACUGUUCUGUUAUGGCUGUAAUAAUAUAACGUACAAACCAAAUGUAUUCCCAUUUAAAAAAUCUUCUGAAUGGUAUACUUUGGUUCCACCUAGUGGAUCAGAAGGGACACUGCAGUAUUGAACACCGUCUGUGGGAGUCUCUUCAUCACCACAUAUACAGGUGCUUCUCAAUAAAUUAGAAUAUUGUUGAAAUGUACUUAUCUUCAAUAAUUCAAAAUUCAGAAUUUAAUUAAUUCAUUAUUACAUAGAUUAAUUUCACCCAAAGGGAAA